AAUCUGAUCCCUCCGUCCGAAAAAGCUUGUCCCUCAAAUGGAUGUAUCUACCAUCAAGUUAGUGCUAGAUACAUCCAUUUGAGGGACAAGCUUGGGACAAGCUUUUUCGGACGGAGGGAGUACAAG
rfam:Triticum aestivum genome assembly, contig: Triticum_aestivum_CS42_TGACv1_scaffold_161476_2DL